rnacentral:lncRNA from 1 species
UUUCUUUUUCAAAUUAGAUACAUUUUUUGAAUUCUAUCUUAUAUUUAAUCUUCCCGGACUACGCGAACUUGAUUCUUGUCUUUCGAGGCGAGAUACGUAGGCAGCCCACAAAGGGACCGGUCAACCUAGUCUUAGGUCUUUGCUUCGCGGGGUCUUAGCCAAAUCUUGUAUGUCUAGCCACUUGUGGCCAUGUCGGCCAUUGUUGCAAAAUGGGGUUAUUUUCACAAAAGUGGUUCAAUAACCCGUAUCCUAGGAUCUUGAGUCCAUAACUUUGUGUCAUGUUACUUUAGGGACCACCUUUU